rnacentral:rRNA from 1 species
CCGCCUACGGGGCGCAGCAGUGGGGAAUAUUGCACAAUGGGGGAAACCCUGAUGCAGCAACGCCGCGUGAGUGAUGACGGCCUUCGGGUUGUAAAGCUCUGUCUUCAGGGACGAUAAUGACGGUACCUGAGGAGGAAGCCACGGCUAACUACGUGCCAGCAGCCGCGGUAAUACGUAGGUGGCGAGCGUUGUCCGGAUUUACUGGGUGUAAAGGGAGCGCAGGCGGCGCGUUAAGCCUGGUGUGAAAGCCCGCGGCCCAACCGCGGGACUGCAUUGGGAACUGGCGCGCUGGAGUGCCGGAGGGG